UACGGAGGGUGCGAGCGUUAAUCGGAAUUACUGGGCGUAAAGGGCGCGUAGGCGGCCUUCUAAGUCGAACGUGAAAUCCCUGGGCUCAACCCAGGAACUGCGUCCGAUACUGGGAGGCUUGAAUCCGGGAGAGGGAUGUGGAAUUCCAGGUGUAGCGGUGAAAUGCGUAGAUAUCUGGAGGAACACCGGUGGCGAAGGCGGCAUCCUGGACCGGUAUUGACGCUGAUGCGCGAAAGCCAGGGGAGCAAACGGG
rnacentral:rRNA from 1 species